AGUCGUAACAAGGUCUCCGUAGGUGAACCUGCGGAGGGAUCAUUACACAAAUAUGAAGGCGGGCUGGAACCUCUCGGGGUUACAGCCUUGCUGAAUUAUUCACCCUUGUCUUUUGCGUACUUCUUGUUUCCUUGGUGGGUUCGCCCACCACUAGGACAAACAUAAACCUUUUGUAAUUGCAAUCAGCGUCAGUAACAAAUUAAUAAUUACAACUUUCAACAACGGAUCUCUUGGUUCUGGCAUCGAUGAAGAACGCAGCGAAAUGCGAUAAGUAGUGUGAAUUGCAGAAUUCAGUGAAUCAUCGAAUCUUUGAACGCACAUUGCGCCCUUUGGUAUUCCAAAGGGCAUGCCUGUUCGAGCGUCAUUUGUACCCUCAAGCUUUGCUUGGUGUUGGGCGUCUUGUCUCUAGCUUUGCUGGAGACUCGCCUUAAAGUAAUUGGCAGCCGGCCUACUGGUUUCGGAGCGCAGCACAAGUCGCACUCUCUAUCAGCAAAGGUCUAGCAUCCAUUAAGCCUUUUUUUUCAACUUUUGACCUCGGAUCAGGUAGGGAUACCCGCUGAACUUAAGCAUAUCAAUAAAAAGUCG
rnacentral:rRNA from 1 species